UCCACGCGGCCCGCGGGGAAGCGCGGCGCCCCGACCCCCUCCCCGCAGCCCCGGGCCGCUCCGCCGGGGGCGCGCCUCUGCGCCCGGGGGCCCGCGCCCGCUCCGGCCUGGGCCGCCGGAAAGUUUUUUAGUUCCGCUUGCAAUGAAACUUUUCUCUCUCCCUCACUCUCGCUCGCUCGCUCGCUCUCUUUUUUUUUUCCUCUCUAACCCGGAUAUGGGGCGGGGGGGUGCACGACUUGCCUGAGCCUAUCGGGCCCAGCGCGGCGUGCGGGAGCCGAGCGAGCCGGAGCAACUAUUAUCCGCUUCUCUCGGAGGGCUCUGCGCACUCGCAAAACGCGGCCUGGACUCGGCCCCCGGCGCCGCCGCCGAGCCCGGCCUGGCGGGAUCAGGGGACCCCGGCCGCCGGCGCUCUCGGCCCGGAGCUGCUCAGUCCCUCGUGCCUCCGGUCUCCUUGCCAACCCGCGUUCCUGUGUUUGUUUUCACGUCUAAAGGGAGCGCUGCGAGGGUGGAAAACGAGUCUGACGAGCAGACAAAAGAGGGAGAAGGGGCUGGGAAGCAAAGUUGUGCGCUGGGCCUCAGAGGUGGCGAGGAGGCCGGCGGGGAAGGGGGCCGUCCAGGCAGGCCGGCCGAGGGAAAGCGCUCUCUCUCUCUCUCUCUCUCUCUCUCUCUCUCUCUCUCUCUCUCUCUCGAGUUAUGUAAUUUUUUCAGAACCUUGGCCUCUCCGCCUCGAUUCCCGGCCAUCGGCGUGAUUCCCACAACUUCAUCCAACUGAGAAAUGAGGAAAGACCAAGUGAAGGUUAAACCGCAAAGAAGGCUGUGCCGGGUACACAGCAGGCGCUCAAUAAUUGCUUAUGAUUCACCACUUCCAAUCCCCGAGAUGAUGUUUAAGCAACUCUUUUUUAAAGGCACCUUAAGUAGCAGACUUGCUUCGAAUCUACUUGAUGCCAUCGCAUCCACAAAAAGAAAAACAUGUUACCUUGGCCCAGUUAUGAAUGAGAAUCAACUAUGAACAUUUGAACCAAAACACACUGAAUUGGGCCCUUUCACGUUCCAGAGGACCAGUGAAGAACUGAGGUCAAAUUUUCUCACCCAAGGGCACCUGACGCCGUUGUUCAUUGUUGGAAACCCCUACCAGGCAUCUACUCCUCCAUCUCCACAGCUCUGACAACACUGAAGACCGCCAGAUCAUCAGUAGGCCAGUACAGUUUGUCUCCAAGGGCCCUGGGAACACAGUGGCAGCAGUGAACCAUGGGAAGGAACUUCUCAGAGCAUUUCAAUGCACUGCACCUUGUCAGCGGUCUGCAUUUUGAUGGACCUGGAAUAAAUACUUUUAUUACAGUCUAGUGUGUAACUGUUGUAUAACUCUAAGAAAAAUGUGUGUCCACUGGUGUCCAUGUCAUUUUCAUGAUUGCCUUCCCUCAUUUCACCAGCGUUGGGAGUUGCAGAGCAUUGCUAGUGUUUUUCAACCUUCUGGCCAGGAGUGCUGGCAAAUGCCUGUAACCCCAACUGUCGGGGAGGCUAAGGCCAAAGGAUCACAAGUUUGAAGCAACUUUGCUAAGACCCUGUCUGAAAAAUAAAAACGGGCGGAUGACACAGCUCAGUGGUAGAGUACUUGCCUAGCAUGUUCAAGGCUCUGGGUUCAGUCCCCAUUGCUGGAAAAGCAGUGUGUAUAUAUUCUUUGACUGGCUGUUACUAGCUAUUCAAAUGGCUCCCAUCAUUGAUGAGCUGCUGCACUGCCACUUGUGUUGAAACACCUUAUAAAUCACUCCAGUUCCUCAAAAAUAAAUACUUGCCUAGUGAACAUGUUUGAUAUAAUGUACAAUAAUUACUUAUACAACAGGAAGUCAUUUGAGGAUUUGAUCAGCUCCAUUUUUUUUUUUCAAGAGAAGUUUCUGUGACUUAAUCCAAGGGCCUUCCGGGUCUUUCACACAGAUGUGAUUAAUUGCUUUAUGGUACAUAUGGACUUUGAAAAUAAAGCUAUUUUUCAAGUACAACAAAUUCCAAAUGGGCCAUAUGCACUAAUGUGGUCCAUUCCUCAUUUUUAUUUUCAGCUGCUGAUAUUCACUCCCUUUGUGCCUAGUUCCAUUGUGAAAAUCAGCGGAUACCUUUAAAGGAUACAUUAGUGACAGGCUCCCGACUGUCCUAGUAGGUGCUAAAGGAUUUGGUUCUAUCUUUUUCUUGCAGAAAAUGACAUAAUUCCAUUGAGGAACUUCCUUCUUAAUGCAGACCCCUAAAAGUGGACAAGUUGUUAAUUACAAGGAAUUUUUUUCCUCCACAAACUUAAAUAUUUCUCGUUGCAACAUGUUAUUCUAAGAUGUAAAAUAAUGUGAGCUCUAUCUGAUAUCUUCUUCAGAUGAAUCUUUAAAAAAAAAAAAACUCUUAUUUA